GAUGUAAAACACAUCUAUUCUCCAGCAAUUAUCUGACUCAGGUUAUUAAAUGCAAAGCAGCCAUCGCCUGGGAAGCAGGCAAGCCCCUUUGCAUUGAAGAGGUUGAAGUAGCUCCCCCCAAGGCUCAUGAAGUUCGCAUUCAGUAAUCUCAAAAGUCCUGCUAGUGAUCAACAACUAAUGGAAGACAAAACCAGCAGGUUUACCUGCAAAGGAAAACCAGUUUACCAUUUCUUUGGAACCAGUACAUUCUCUCAGUACACUGUGGUGUCAGAUAUCAAUCUUGCCAAAAUAGAUGAUGAUGCAA
rnacentral:lncRNA from 1 species